rnacentral:rRNA from 1 species
AGGAAUGUAUAGCAAUAGCUAGUUGCAUCAUUGUAAUGAGGAUGCAAUAUUGACUAUGUUGAAUAAAAUUCUAGGUAGAAUUAUGAUAAUGACAUUGUCUGCCUAUGUGUCUUGACCAAAUUACGUGCCAGCAGUCGCGGUAAUACGUAGAAGACUAGUGUUAUUCAUGUUUAAUCGGUUUAAAGGGUACCUAGACGGCAGAUCAAGCUUUCCGAGAAGAAAAAAAAGAGAAAAAAGGACUAAUUUGCUAGAGUUACUUACGAGGGGGUUUUAAAGUACUGCUGGUGUAGAGAUGAAAUUCUGUCAUACCUCUUUUCGAAAGAAAAAUGAUGGCACAGGUAUAGGCGAAGGCAUCCCCUUAUGUGAUAACUGACGUUGAGGGACGAAGGCUUUAUAUAACGAACAGGAUUAGAUACCCCAGUAGUGGAAGCAGUAAAUGAUGAAUGUCAUAGAUUAGCUAGAUAGGUUCAUUCUAUAAAUGAAAGUGUAAGCAUUCCACCUCAUGAGUAAUUUGGCAACAUUGGAAUUGAAAUCAUUAGACCGUUUCUGAAACCAGUAGUGAAGUAUGUUGUUUAAUUUGAUGAUCCGCAAAAAACCUUACCACAAUUUGAAUAUUUAUAUUUUUUUUUAUUGUUUUCUUAUUAAUUUUCUUCUCUUUAAUUUAAGAACAAAGUAUUAAAGAAAAGAGGAAAAUAUUUAAUGCAGAGGCAAUAAGAUAUAUUUACAAGCGUUGCACGGCUGUCUUCAGUUAAUGUCGUGAGACUUUGGUUAGAUCCAUUAAAUUAACGUAAACCCUUACUUUAUUUUUAGAUAGAGUUGUUCCCCACUAUAUUGGAUAAGAU